rnacentral:rRNA from 1 species
AGAUUGAACGCUGGCGGCAGGCCUAACACAUGCAAGUCGAGCGGUAGAGAGGUGCUUGCAUCUCUUGAGAGCGGCGGACGGGUGAGUAAUGCCUAGGAAUCUGCCUAGUGGUGGGGGAUAACGUUCGGAAACGGACGCUAAUACCGCAUACGUCCUACGGGAGAAAGCGGGGACCUUCGGGCCUCGCGCCAUUAGAUGAGCCUAGGUCGGAUUAGCUAGUUGGUGAGGUAAUGGCUCACCAAGGCGACGAUCCGUAACUGGUCUGAGAGGAUGAUCAGUCACACUGGAACUGAGACACGGUCCAGACUCCGUACGGAGCAGCAGUGGGGAAUA